GAUGAACGCUGACAGAAUGCUUAACACAUGCAAGUCUUUGGCGAAUCUGUGCUUGCACAGGCUAGCCAAGGCGGACGGGUGAGUAACGCGUAAAGAACUUGCCCUGCAGACAGGGAUAACAGACGGAAACGACUGAUAACACCUGAUACAGUUGCCGGCACGCAUGUGCCUGGCAAUGAAAAGAGAUGCUGCAGGAGAGCUUUGCGUCCUAUUAGCUUGUUGGUGAGGUGACGGCUCACCAAGGCGAUGAUAGGUAGCCGGCCUGAGAGGGUGAACGGCCACAAGGGGACUGAGAUACGGCCCUUACUCCUACGGGAGGCAGCAGUGGGGAAUAUUGGACAAUGGGGGCAACCCUGAUCCAGCAAUUCUGUGUGCACGAAGAAGGUUUUCGGAUUGUAAAGUGCUUUCAGCAGGGUAGAAGAAAGUGACGGUACCUGCAGAAGAAGCGACGGCUAAAUACGUG
rnacentral:rRNA from 1 species